rnacentral:lncRNA from 1 species
UAGGGCUCAUUGUAUUAUGUUUACAUAUCAAUUAUAUAUUCUUCUCCCGUGUCUUCUCACACAUACCUUUUUCUAGUAACUCCGAAGAAACUGAUUUCAUGCAGUACAAAAAUCACUUUCUGUCAUUGUGCAGUUGCCAACAACCAGCCGACACAUCCAAGCAAAGAAUUCCAGUACGACUUCUCUUCUUGAUGAUUGGCAUAAUCCCAAUUAAAUUUUGGCGGCAACCUUUUAAGUUUCCAAAAUAUGCAAAGUCAAGCUGAUUUUUUCCCAUUAUGAGUUUGAAAGGAUGUGUUGAAUGUCAAGAGAAGAAGUUAUACUAUUUAGAUGCAUUGAACUCAAAUAAAGAACAUACUGUAAAUAUUGUAUAGGAUACUUUAGGACAUCCUCUGUUUAGUUAUCGAAUAAUUUCUUACCUUUUAAUUAUAAAGAUGAUUACCUACUGUUAUUCAUAGCACAAAAUACUGUAUAAGGAGCUUCAGUUAACCGACUAAUUUCAAUUAGUAGUUUUUCUUCUCUUGUUCGCUCUGUCUUCACAAUCCGGAUAUUGAUGCUCACAUGUUUUUUUCUCCAAAGAGAAAAAGUUGACUAUAAGUGAAUGUUAUUGACAUUCUUAUCCUCUAUGGAGUACGUUUUGUUGUUGUACGAGGGGCUCAUGGAAUCAUUUAGUUCUUUAAUUUUUGAGUGAAGACUACGUUGGAGUAGCAGUUAUCCUAUUAAGCUGUUUUAGAGACUUUAGCAGCUAUCCUAUUAAGCUUCUAGCUAUCCAUUGGCAGGGAUCUGACACAAGUGUUUCAACCAUCAAGGGCUGAAGUUCUGAUUCAUUUCACAAGAAAAGAGUUGCCCAAUGAGAGAAUAUUCUGCUUUGAGCACGUCCUGAAACGGAUACUCUUGAAGAUUAUACAGUGUCAUGAUUAGAUACUUAUUUUAGCAACGGCGAAUAGGUGUUUAGCUUGGAUAAAAGCCUUGUAUAAAAUUGUUGUUGAUGUAUUCCACAUUUUGUGAGUUACACAAUUAGUAGAUAGUAGCAUUUUUGUGAGGGAUGACUAUCCUCUCGAUUUUAGAACGUUUCGAUUUAUAAUUAGUAGUAUAAUUGAUGGAUUAUGCUUCAGCAUCUAUGGUAUAAUGGUAAUGGCAGCAACUUUGAUCGGAUGUUUUGCCUCAAAACUAAAUCAUCCCACAAUGUAAGGAGGGGACUUGUUGGUAUACACUAUACAGACUCGCAGUAUAAUAACGCCCAGUGAUAGUCAACAUGAUAAAGUAAUGACUCGGUUAAAGAAGCUAGGAAGACCAGACCAACUCAAGGAAAAGGAGGAAUGAAUAAUAUCUGAAAACGAG